ensembl:lncRNA
UUUGCUGGUUUACACAGGUGAAUUUUAAUACAAAAAAUUGGGUAGAAAAUGUUUUUUUUGGUUUUUUUUUAAGUUAAAACAAGUGUCACACAAUCACUUUCCUACUGUACAUACAACAGCAUCUAAACACAAACGGCUCACAGGCAGACAAACCAAAACAUUCAGAGGAAAAAGUGUUCUUUGUUCAGUUGAAAGACAACAGCGGGACGGCUGCUCAGUUUACCUUCCAUUCAGGGAGAAGAGAAUCUCAGAGGCGGACAUUCAUGGUCCAGCCCGAGAGCGAAAACAACGCAGGUAGAACCAUGAACGACCUCUUCCAUUAGAGUGGAUGCAAAGGCUCUAAAAAGGAUGGAGGUUCUGUCUUUGCUCUUUUUCUACAAAAAAAAAAAAGCAAUUCCUCUGACUUUAUGCAAAGUGGUGACAGCGCUUAGUCACAGGUUCAAAUCCCACCGUUAGACACUAGUUGCAUAGCCUCAAUUCUCCAGCCCCCAUUUCUACACGAGGCCAAAUGCCAAACAAAUAAAUUAAAGCAAAAGGCCCGUCCUCCUCGCCAUUCUUUCUGGGACCAAAUUCAUGAACCAAGUUAUGAAGCGUCCAGCUUCCAGGAAAGCGCGGCACGGGCUGUAAACCCUGGUUUGGAUCAGGGUUCAAAAGUGGUAAAAGUAACGGCGCUUCAGUCUGGUGCCACUCGUCCUUCCUGCAAACUAGCACCUGUCAGUCGGUUGUGCUGGUUUCGACCAGGCGGGAUGUUCUCAGGAAUGUUCCUUGGUUUAGCCGGCUCUGCAUUCCAUCAAAGCCUCCUCCACUUGCCCCCCCCUCUGUACCUUCUGUUACCCUGACCUGCAGGGUUGUGGUAACUGCCCAGCAGUCGAGGACCGGCCUGUUGGAGGCCCCAGACCCCAGACGUGGCACCUGUGGGGCCCAGGCCCCCCGGCCAGCGAGACACGGGCCCCAGGGGUCCACCUCCGAGGGAAGUCAGGGGGCCUUGAAAGGAAGGGUGGUUGGGGAAUUGCGGCGAGUGGGGGGUCUGCAGGAGGCCGGCGCCCCUUUGCUGCUGCUGGCUGUUGGGCAGUUGUUGCCGGGACGACUGACUCGGCUGAAGCUGCUGGUUGUUCAGCUGGUGAAGAUGUCGAGGAUGCUGGAUCUGUUGUAGACGGGGCAGAGCAGGAUUUGGGUCGUAUUAGCCGAUUGUGAUGGUUCAGGGUAUUUUCUCUCUUGAGAAAGCGAGGGCUAACAUAUUGGAGGAAUACAAGGGACUUUGGAUGAGAGGAUGGUAGAGACAAAAAUAGACAAAGACAUCUUUCAAUAGACCACGCGAUCUAUUUGGGUUUAAUUACCAACAUAAAAAGCAGGUACAAAAUAUACAAACACAAACAAUAUGCCUGCUCUUCACUGACUGAAACAGAUCCAAGUGAUGGAUCCGUUUCUUUGUCCGUCUUUUUCUUUUCUUCCGUUACUUCUCUUCGUAUACGGUGAGAGCUGAUGGGUUUCCACCCACGCUGAAGGGGAGGGUGUAUCAUAUAUGUGCUUCAAAUAAAGAAAAAUAAAUUCUCAGCAAUUUUAUACAAUGCUUUGUUUAAAAACUGAAAGUACGUAAGGAAUGUCAAGUUUCCUCAUUUCAGAGCAAAGCUCCGCUUCGGUUUCGUCAGUCGUUUUCCUUCCCCACUCACACACGGCGAACUGCCCUCUCGUCUCAUCUCUUCUCUUGCAUCCUGCGCCGGCGAUCAUCUGAGGACGUCUGGACGGUUGUUAGUGGGACACCAAGGAUGCACAACCUCGUCCCAUUCUUCGACUGGACCUCGCACCAAGGCCCUUCCUCGUGGUUAUAACAGGUAACUCCACAGGCCACCUGAUUCGGGCCCCUUUCCUUUGGCGGAGCCGUGCCGAUGAAGACAACAGUGCUGUUGGCCUUGAGUUCCAAAUACUGGUUGCCAGGCUUGAGAAAAGGCUGCUGGUCCGGUGUCCAUCCUGGUCUGGCAUAGGAAAUAUCCUUCCAGGCGUUGGAAUUCCAAAGAUAUCUUGACUGGAAUUUCCGCCCCUUGCGGUUGUACAGCUGCAGCCGCUGUGUGCAGCUCUUGGCCGAGGGUCGCGGAGCAGUCAGCCGGUUGCCCCGGUUGCCUGCCUCACCCUUGUUGUUGGUCAGGUCCGGUUGGGUCUGUGGAACCUUGGUGCCACUGGCAGUGCUGUUGCCAGGUGCUGCUCCCUCUCCACCUAUUGGCUGUUCUUGGCCCAACUGUGUCUCCCUGAAGGAAGGAAACAAGAAGAACUUCAGCCGCACGUGACAAACUGACAAAGCAAACGUUGACUCUUCUUCCACCUCCUCCUUCUCCUCUGCUUGAUUUUGAUGGGCAGCAUCCGGAAAAUGUAUCUUGUACCAACGAAAGUUGGUUCUGACAGUUGGGAGUUGGUUUUUCCUAAUAUCUAUGGGGAACAGAUCCACAUCUGCUUCCCCGAACAGCCAGAAGAUGUUGUUACUGGUGUGAUGGACGACCCUUCAAAGCGGCAAGUCGGCAGCGCGGUUGUGUAACCCCCACCUCUCCAUGUACAUUUGAUUGAGCCGCGCCAAACAGAAGGCACAAUGACAGCCGCUGCCAUGUCGUCUGAGCCCACAUGGCAUUUCUUAAGUGGAGGUGAAUUAAGCACGAGGGCCACUCAAAAUAACUUAUGUGAAGGGAUGGGGGAUUCUUCCAUUCCACACCUACCAGUCUACCUCCAGCAGCAAGUAUUGGGUCGUCUAAACAGGACAAACCCACGCUGCUUCAUAAUGCACCUCCCGAGCAGUCCAAAACCAGCCACAUUCAGCGUACUUGGUGAGAGGGAAUAGUGAAAACACUUCAUCCUCCACUUGUGGGAAAUUACUUCUUUCUCUGAAAGGUCCAUUUGUGCCUGACAUGGCAUUUCCAC